rnacentral:lncRNA from 1 species
CCCGUGUCUCAUCCUGUCCUCACCCUCAGCUCUGCUAAGGACUUGAAUUUUGAGGGAGCCAAGGUGACACUUCACUGUGAAGCCCAGAGAGGUUCACUCCCCAUCGUGUACCAGUUUCAACAUGAGGAUGUCACCCUGGGGAGUAGGUGAGCCCACUCUGCAGGAGGAGUGGCCAUCAGCUUCCCUCUGACUGCAGAGCAUUCAGGGAACUACUACUGCACAGCUGACAAUGGCUUUGGCCCCCAGCACAGUGAGGUGGUGAGUCUCUCUGUCACUGUCCCUGUGUCUCAUCCUGUCCUCACCCUCAGCUCUGCUGAGGCCCUGACUUUUGAAGGAGCCACUGUGACACUUCACUGUAAGGUCCAGAGAGGUUCUCCAUGAAUCCCAUAUCAGUUUUAUCAUGAGGAUGUGCCCCUGGGGAGCAGCUCAACACCCUCUGUGGGAAGAGUGUCCUUCAGCUUCUCUCUGACUGAAGGACAUUCAGAGAAUUACUACUGCACAGCUGACAAUGGCUUUGGUCCCCAGCGCAGUGAGGUGGUGAGCCUCUUUGUC